UUAGUGGAAGCGUCUGGAAAGGCGCGCGAUACAGGGUGACAGCCCCGUACACAAAAGCGCAUGUGCUGUGAGCUCGAUGAGUAGGGCGGGACACGUGGUAUCCUGUCUGAAUAUGGGGGGACCAUCCUCCAAGGCUAAAUACUCCUGACUGACCGAUAGUGAACCAGUACCGUGAGGGAAAGGCGAAAAGAACCCCGGCGAGGGGAGUGAAAAAGAACCUGAAACCGUGUACGUACAAGCAGUGGGAGCACCCUUUGGGGUGUGACUGCGUACCUUUUGUAUAAUGGGUCAGCGACUUAUAUUCUGUAGCAAGGUUAACCGUAUAGGGGAGCCGGAGGGAAACCGAGUCUUAACCGGGCGUUAAGUUGCAGGGUAUAGACCCGAAACCCGGUGAUCUAGCCAUGGGCAGGUUGAAGGUUGGGUAACACUAACUGGAGGACCGAACCGACUAAUGUUGAAAAAUUAGCGGAUGACCUGUGGCUGGGGGUGAAAGGCCAAUCAAACCGGGAGAUAGCUGGUUCUCCCCGAAAGCUAUUUAGGUAGCGCCUCGUGAAUUCAUCUCCGGGGGUAGAGCACUGUUUCGGCUAGGGGGCCAUCCCGGCUUACCAACCCGAUGCAAACUGCGAAUACCGGAGAAUGUUAUCACGGGAGACACACGGCGGGUGCUAACGUCCGUCGUGAAGAGGGAAACAACCCAGACCGCCAGCUAAGGUCCCAAAGUCAUGGUUAAGUGGGAAACGAUGUGGGAAGGCCCAGACAGCCAGGAUGUUGGCUUAGAAGCAGCCAUCAUUUAAAGAAAGCGUAAUAGCUCACUGGUCGAGUCGGCCUGCGCGGAAGAUGUAACGGGGCUAAACCAUGCACCGAAGCUGCGGCAGCGACGCUGAUGCGUUGUUGGGUAGGGGAGCGUUCUGUAAGCCUGCGAAGGUGGCCUGUGAGGGUUGCUGGAGGUAUCAGAAGUGCGAAUGCUGACAUAAGUAACGAUAAAGCGGGUGAAAAGCCCGCUCGCCGGAAGACCAAGGGUUCCUGUCCAACGUUAAUCGGGGCAGGGUGAGUCGACCCCUAAGGCGAGGCCGAAAGGCGUAGUCGAUGGGAAACGGGUUAAUAUUCCCGUACUUGGUGUUACUGCGAAGGGGGGACGGAGAAGGCUAUGUUGGCCGGGCGACGGUU
rnacentral:rRNA from 1 species